rnacentral:rRNA from 1 species
AGGACGAACGCUGGCGGCGCGCUUAACACAUGCAAGUCGAGCGAGAACCGGUCCUUCGGGACUGGGGAAAGCGGCGAACGGGUGAGUAACACGUGGGUAAUCAACCCCCGGCACCGGGAUAGCCCGAGGAAACUCGGAUUAAUACCGGAUGGCCCAGCAGCUCUUCGGGGCGGCUGGAAAGGGUAGCUUCGGCCUCCGGCCGGGGACGAGCCCGCGGCGGAUUAGCUUGUUGGUGGGGUAAUGGCCUACCAAGGCGACGAUCCGUAGCUGGUCUGAGAGGACGAUCAGCCACACUGGGACUGAGACACGGCCCAGACUCCUACGGGAGGCAGCAGUGGGGAAUCUUGCACAAUGGGCGAAAGCCUGAUGCAGCGACGCCGCGUGAGGGAAGAAGGCUUUCGGGUUGUAAACCUCUUUCAGCAGGGAAGAGCGAAGUGACGGUACUGCAGAAGAAGCACCGGCUAACUACGUGCCAGCAGCCGC